rnacentral:lncRNA from 1 species
UAUAAGCACGGGGGGGGUCUCAACAUGGGAUUUUGGGUACAGGUGUGCAGCUGGGAUUUUAAAAACACCCCCCAUUCAUAUAUUGAAUAAUUGUGAAAUCCCUACCUAUACAUAUAUUUCACAGCGAAAUCAUAACCCAUUCAUAUAUUUAUCAGCUCAAAUAGUACCUAUAUGCAUAUACAAUCGGUCAAUUACUACCUAUUGAUAUAUUUCCUCGGUAAAAUUGCACCCCAUUGAUAUAUUUGACGGAUCAAAAAAGGGACCC